CAAGGUUCUGGCUCCAACAUUUACACAGGGGUUCCUUGAAGACCCUUUUCAGAGAGGUUCCAGGUUUAACUGGAAAGGUUCGGCCUGUGUAGCAACACAAAAGGUUCUUCCAGGCACUUUUACUGUAGACUAGCAGGAUGGAUGUAGUUGUAUACAUGCAGAACACACUGAUCACCCACCCAUGUUAUUGUAAGAUAUUAUAGAUGCACAGACAAACAGAAAAGACAACUGACCGUUCUUCCUCUGUACAGCUGGUGGAGUGCCCAACUAGACCAAAAUGGACCAAGACAACCAUCAGGAAGAUGGAGAACACUUUUAAGAAGCUGGACACCAACAGGACUUACAAGGCCAUCGGAGAGUUCAAGACCGUCCUCCUGUGGAUCAGUGACAUGAGAGAGAGAAAGGAAAGGUCAAUGGAUAAAUGCCAGUAGUCAUCCAUCCAUCCAUCCACCCAUCCAUCCAUCCAUCCAUCCAUCCACACUGUCAAACUGGAGAAGUGGACUGUCACUGACACACACAGAGGAGACCUUCCAGUCACUCCUGAAGAAUGAAUGCCUCUGAUAUCAUGUCAACCACAGCUUCCAUCCACCCCUGGCCUGGACAGUCUUCUAUCUAAUCUACACGAUCACCUGGAGCAAUGGACUGUGCACACACACACACACACACACACACAACUCCACCCAUUCACCACUGGCCUGUGUACCAGCCACUCCAGCCUCCAAGUAAUCUGAUGCACCAGACUCUACCUCCCACGGCACAAAAGCCUGGGGACUAGGUUUGCAUCCAACGGACUCCAACUGACAUCAUUGGCCUAAAUAAUCAGCACAUUUCCAUUAUACAGGAGCUCAACUUGUAAGUGAAUGUUUUUGGAGCACUGUCCCAUGAGUCCACCAUAACAGUGAGUCAUCACAGGAUGCUGCUCAGUGUCCAGUUGUACAACACUGUAGAGUACAACAAACGGUCCUUCUAUUUUCUAUGGUGGUUCCAUCAUUGGUUUAAAGGUGGCUGUGACGGUCUCCUGGCUCUCUGACCACCUGACUGAUUGACCUGUAAUGCUGAGAACAUUCCUGCAGGUCUGUUAUCUUUCACAAGUGUACCUUUACCUGCAUUCCACCUGUACUUUUUUUUUAUUUAACCUUUAUUUAACUAGGCAAGUCAGUUAAGAACAAAUUCUUAUUUACAAUGACGGCCUAGGAACAGUGGGUUAACUGCCUUGUUCAGAGGCAGAACGACAGAUUUUUACCUUGUCAGCUCGGGGAUUCAAUCUAGCAACCUUUCAGUUACUGGCCCAACGCUCUAACCACUAGGCUACCUGCCUCCCGGGUUCAAUCAAAGCCCUACCAUAGUAAUGUUUUGAUGCAGUAUCUUUGCAUACAAACGACUGGAUGGAAAGCAUAGUGAGUGGAGUAUCUCCAUUAAAAGUCCACUUUAGUCCAGGUCUAGUCUUCAUCUAGUCCUUACAAUAGAUACAGCUCUCUUUUGUCAAGAACAAUGCAAUUGUCAAAGCUUUGAAUCAUAUCCACUCAAUGUAGGAUUUUAGCAGUAUUUUGGUAUUUCAAUAGGAAAAGUGUAUUUUCUUAAAUGUUUUUCUUUAGUUAUAUUUACUUAGGUUCAUAUUUAUAGUUUUAUAAAAUAUUAUUUGAUUAUUAUUUUUCAUAUAAAUGAGGAUGUUAUUGUCUGUGACAGGUGAACAUAGUUGUGUUCAAAA
rnacentral:lncRNA from 1 species